rnacentral:rRNA from 1 species
UAGGGAAUCUUCGGCAAUGGGGGGAACCCUGACCGAGCAACGCCGCGUGAGUGAAGAAGGUUUUCGGUUCGUAAAGCCCUGUUGUUAAGGAAGAACGAGUGUGAGAAUGGAAAGUUCAUGCUGUGACGGUACUUAACCAGAAAGGGACGGCUAACUACGUGCCAGCAGCCGCGGUAAUACGUAGGUCCCGAGCGUUGUCCGGAUUUAUUGGGCGUAAAGCGAGCGCAGGCGGUUAGAAAAGUCUGAAGUGAAAGGCAGGGGCUCAACCAUUGUAGGCUUUGGAAACUGUUUUACUUGAGUGCAGAAGGGGAGAGUGGAAUUCCAUGUGUAGCGGUGAAAUGCGUAGAUAUAUGGAGGAACACCGGUGGCGAAAGCGGCUCUCUGGUCUGUAACUGACGCUGAGGCUCGAAAGCGUGGGGAGCGAACAGG